rnacentral:rRNA from 1 species
GACGAACGCUGGCGGCAUGCCUAACACAUGCAAGUCGAGCGAGUAGAUCCCUUCGGGGUGAAGCUAGCGGCGGACGGGUGAGUAACACGUGGGCAACCUGCCUCAUAGAGGGGAAUAGCCUUCCGAAAGGAAGAUUAAUACCGCAUAAGAUUGUAGUACCGCAUGGUAUAGCAAUUAAAGGAGUAAUCCGCUAUGAUAUGGGCCCGCGGCGCAUUAGCUAGUUGGUGAGGUAACGGCUCACCAAGGCGACGAUGCGUAGCCGGCCGGGGAGGGGGAUCGGCCACAUUGGGGCUGGGACACGGCCCAGACUCCUACGGGAGGCAGCAGUGGGGAGUAUUGCACAAUGGGGGAAACCCUGAUGCAGCAAUGCCGCGUGAGUGAUGACGGCCUUCGGGUUGUAAAGCUCUGUCUUCGGGGACGAUAAUGACGGUACCCGAGGAGGAAGCCACGGCUAACUACGUGCCAGCAGCCGCCGUAA